GAUGAAGAACGUAGUGAAAUGUGAUAAGUAGUGUGAAUUGCAGAAUUCCGUGAAUCAUCGAAUCUUUGAACGCACAUUGCGCCUUCUGGUAUUCCGGAAGGCAUGCCUGUUCGAGAGUCAUUAACAACCGUUUCGAUCCCUUUCUUUCAGAAAUUACAAAGAGGAAAAGGGUUUGGUUAUGGUGGAGGAGGGAAAGGGAGCGUUUAGCCUGUAAAAAAAGAGGCUGUGUUCCGCCUCCCCCCCAAAAUUGUACAGGCGGUCGUGUGCGCCCACGCAUCGAGGUGUUGUAAAAGCUGCCACGGCACUUUUCACCUGUGCAGUGCGAGAUUGGCCAGCCGGUUUAAAAACCCCUCCAAACAAUCAAAGGUUGACCUCGGAUCAGGUAGGGAUACCCGCUGAACUUAAGCAUAUCAAUAAGCGGAGG
rnacentral:misc_RNA from 1 species